AGAACACCUUCCUGACCCGAAUUCAAUCCGUGCGCAGGCACCCUCCGCCGGCGAUGGCUCACGCAUCGCUCGGCGCCCGCCCCACGUCCCCGAGGCGACGACCGGCACAACGCGCCCUCGCGGCGCUACCCGACACCUGCGACGAAACGCGCCAAGUUCAGGAGCGCGUCGACACAGGGGCUCGGGAACACGGUGUCGCCAUCGCGGAACCCUAGCGAGAUCGUCGGGAAGGUCCGAAGGUGAGCACGUGUUUGUGUAACCUUUGGCUCCGGUUCGCAAUGGUGGACGGCGAUGGUGACAGGGAACACCAGCAAUAGCCGGUUGUGGCAGCUGCCGCCGCGUCACAUAGCGCCGAGUUGGAGGGGCACAUCACGUGAAUAGAUCUGCGCAGUCUCGCAUCAUGGCAGUGCCGGCGGCCUCCCGGGCAUGGCGACUCUCCCCAGUCGACCAGGCACCUCUUCGUCCUUUGGGCCCGUACCCUCCGCUUCCUCGGGCGUGUCCGCCGGCCAUUUGGACGCCGUCAAACCGGUUGGCCGUGUCCGGGUCAUCUCCGCGCCCCUCCUCCAAAUGGCCAAACCCUACCUUGUUGUAGCUAGCCUACCCCUCCAGACGCCAUUAUCUUCUUGGUCAGUCCUGCCCACUACUCGUCUCAUCAGCCAAUGGGCAUGGUUUUGCCUGGUGUGGUUGGAUUCAAGUUGAGUGGGAAGUUAUAGGAUGGUGUCACUACUACUGACAUUGUUCUUACUAUGACCCAAAUGCUAAGGAAGCACGGUGCUAUUGGCAAAUUCGUUGAAUUCUAUGGUGUUGGUGUGGGCGAGCUAUCUUUGCCUGCUAGGGCCACAAUUGCCAACAUGUCUCCAGAAUAUGGAGCUACCAUGGGCUUCUUCCUUGUAGACAAGUAGCAUUGGACUAUCUCAAAUUGACAGGCCGAAGCGAUGAAACUGUGUCGAUGAUUGAAGCAUACCUGCGAGCUAACAAAAUGUUUGUGGACAAGCAUGAGCCUGAGACGGAACGAGUUUUCUCUUCAUAUCUGGAGCUGGACCUUAGUGAGGUGGAGCCUUGCGUUUCAGGCCCCAAAAGGCCUCAUGAUCGUGUCCCUUUGAAGGAAAUGAAGUCAGACUGGCAUGCUUGCCUGGACAACGAAGUUGGUUUCAAGGGCUAUGCGGUGCCAAAGGAACAGCAAGGCAAAGUUGUGAAAUUCAACUUCCAUGGAAGGCCAGCUGAAAUCAAGCAUGGCAGUGUUGUUCUUGCAGCAAUAUGCAGCUCCACAAACACAUCAAAUCCUAGCUUCAUGAUUGGUGCUGGCCUUGUGGAAGAAAGCAUGCGAAUUGGGCCUUGAGGUGAAGCCAUGGGUAAAGACAAGCCUUACCCCUGGAUCUGUGGUUGCUACUGAGUACUUGAAACAUAGUGGCCUUCAAGAUUAUCUGAACCAGCAAGGGUUCCAUGUCGCUGCGCAUGGCUGCGCCACUUGUGUGGGCAACUCUGGUGACCUGGAUGGAUCUGUAUCCGCUGCUAUCAUAGAAAAUGAUAUCGUUGCUGCUGCGGUGCUGUAUCCUACUACCUGCUCAACCUUGGGGACAGCAUCACCACGGACCACAUCUCCUACUCGGGGAAGAUCCCCGAGGGCACACCUGCGGCCAAGUAUCUGCUCGAGUAUGGCGUGGAGCCCAAGAACUUCAGCUCCUAUGGUGGCCGCCGCGGGAACAAUGAGGUGGUGAUGAGGGGAGCGUUUGCCAAUAUGAGGAUCGUGAAUAAGCUUCUUAAUGGCGAGGCUGGUCCCUGGACAAUCCAUGUUCCUACCGGGGAGAAGCUCUACGUUUACGACGCGGCAAUGAAAUGGAAGGAGAUGCUGUCAGUUUUACCCAAUUAUCGAGUGAAGGAGUAUAUGAAGAAACUUUACAAGACAUCUGUACAACCCUAGAUGAGUUGCAGUAGAUUCCACCCAUUAAGGACAAAUGGACAAUAAUCCAUCAUCGAAGCCAAAUCAUAAGCUAAAAGGUUGAGAAGAUGGUGCUUCUGGCAUGUGGAUGGCGCUAUACGAUUACUGUUUGUGACUCAAGUAAUCUAUACACUUAUGGUUGGCGCAAAUACGUUCAACUAGGACAUAUUGAUUUUGAAGAUGAUUUAGUUCCACAUAAACUAGAAGCAUUGAAAGAUAGCACUAUAUCUCAGGAAAAGAUAGAAUGGAACUCAAAUUUUGGUGGUUACACUGGUGUGGAGACUUGAAUUCAUGUAUACACUUAGUUAGACUCAAUGUUAGUGCAAACAGUUGAUGACCAAGUUUUUUAAUUAGUAUUUUAGUUUGGAUGUAUAGUACACUUAUGUAUGAGUUAUUUGACAAUGCUUAUUUAUGAGAUAUUGAAUGAC